GCCAGGUGUGGUGGGUACACCUGUAAUCCCAGCUACUCAGGAGGCUGAGGCAGGAGAAUCACUUGAACCCGGGAGGCGGAGGUUGCAGUGAGCCAAGAUUGCACCACUGCACUCCAGCCUGGGUGACACAGUGAGACUCUGUCUCAA
rfam:Homo sapiens chromosome 10, GRCh38 reference primary assembly.